CCCCGGCUGGGGUCCGGGGGCGAAGCCCCCGGCUGGGGUCCGGGGGCGAAGCCCCCGGCUGGGGUCCGGGGGCGAAGCCC
rnacentral:tRNA from 1 species